GACGAACGCUGGCGGCGUGCUUAACACAUGCAAGUCGAACGGAAAGGCCUCAGCUUGCUGGGGUACUCGAGUGGCGAACGGGUGAGUAACACGUGGGUGAUCUGCCUUGCACUCUGGGAUAAGCUUGGGAAACUGGGUCUAAUACCGGAUAUGAACUGCCUUUAGUGUGGUGGUUGGAAAGUUUUUUCGGCGCAAGAUGAGCUCGCGGCCUAUCAGCUUGUUGGUGGGGUAAUGGCCUACCAAGGCGUCGACGGGUAGCCGGCCUGAGAGGGUGUACGGCCACAUUGGGACUGAGAUACGGCCCAGACUCCUACGGGAGGCAGCAGUGGGGAAUAUUGCACAAUGGGCGGAAGCCUGAUGCAGCGACGCCGCGUGGGGGAUGACGGCCUUCGGGUUGUAAACUCCUUUCGACAGGGACGAAGCUUUUUGUGACGGUACCUGUAUAAGAAGCACCGGCUAACUACGUG
rnacentral:rRNA from 1 species